UGCAUAGGAAGGUCCUGAUUACCAGUAUGAUGUGUAACAGUGCCUGCCUGGGUAGA
rnacentral:pre_miRNA from 1 species